rnacentral:rRNA from 1 species
GCGCAGCAGGCGCGAAUCUUCCACAAUGGGGGAAACCCUGAUGGAGCGACGCCGCGUGCGGGAUGAAGGCCCUAUGGGUUGUCAACCGCUGUUCAGUGGAAAGAACAUCCUCCGGCUGAAUAGGUCGGAGGCCUGACGUUACCACUGCAGAAAGUCCCGGCCAACUCCGUGCCAGCAGCCGCGGUAAUACGGGGGGGACAGCGUUGUCCGGAAUCAUUGGGCGUAAAGGGCGCGUAGGCGGCGAGGAAAGUCGAAUGUGAAAAUCUUGCGGCUC